rnacentral:rRNA from 1 species
AGAGUUUGAUCAUGGCUCAGGAUGAACGCUGGCGGCGUGCCUAACACAUGCAAGUCGAACGGGAACCCCUGGAUUCGUCUGGGGGGGAGAGUGGCGAACGGGUGAGUAACACGUAGGUGACCUGCCCCGAAGAGGGGAAUAACCACUGGAAACGGUGGCCAAUGCCCCAUGUGGUCUGUCGGUCGACGGCAGAUUAAAGCUCCGGCGCUUCGGGAGGGGCCUGCGGCCCAUCAGGUAGUUGGUAGGGUAAUGGCCUACCAAGCCUAUGACGGGUAGGGGGCGUGAGAGCGUGACCCCCCACACUGGCACUGAGAUACGGGCCAGACUCCUACGGGAGGCAGCAGUGAGGAAUCUUGCCCAAUGGACGAAAGUCUGAGGCAGCAACGCCGCGUGGGCGAUGAAGGCCUUCGGGUUGUAAAGCCCUUUUCUGGGGGACGAGGAAGGACGGUACCUCAGGAAUAAGUCACGGCUAACUACGUGCCAGCAGCCGCGGUAAUACGUAGGUGGCAAGCGUUAUCCGGAUUUACUGGGCGUAAAGCGCGUGCAGGCGGUUUCGUAAGUCGGACGUGAAAGCUCCUGGCUUAACUGGGAGAGGCCGUUCGAUACUGCGGGACUUGAGGUCGGGAGAGGGACGUGGAAUUCCCGGUGUAGUGGUGGAAUGCGUAGAUAUCGGGAGGAACACCAGUGGCGAAGGCGGUGUCCUGGCCCGUACCUGACGCUAAGACGCGAAAGCGUGGGUAGCGAACGGGAUUAGAUACCCCGGUAGUCCACGCCGUAAACGGUGGAUACUAGGUGUUGGUGGCUAUCGUCAUCAGUGCCGUAGCUAACGCGUUAAGUAUCCCGCCUGGGGACUACGGUCGCAAGGCUAAAACUCAAAGGAAUUGACGGGGGCCCGCACAAGCAGCGGAGCGUGUGGUUUAAUUCGAGGCAACACGAAGAACCUUACCUGGGUUUGACAUGUACGUGGUAGUGAAGCGAAAGCGGAACGAUCCUUCGGGAAGCGUACACAGGUGCUGCAUGGCUGUCGUCAGCUCGUGCCGUGAGGUGUUCGGUUAAGUCCGGUAACGAGCGCAACCCUUGCUGUUAGUUACAUGUGUCUAACAGGACUGCCGGUUUAAUACCGGAGGAAGGUGGGGAUGACGUCAAGUCAGCAUGGCCCUUAUGCCCAGGGCUACACACACGCUACAAUGGCCGGUACAAUGGGUUGCCAAGCCGCGAGGCGGAGCUAAUCCUCCAAAGCCGGUCUCAGUUCGGAUUGCAGGCUGCAACUCGCCUGCAUGAAGGUGGAGUUGCUAGUAACCGCAGGUCAGCCACACUGCGGUGAAUACGUUCCCGGGCCUUGUACACACCGCCCGUCACGUCAUGGGAGCUGGUAACACCUGAAGCCGGUGGGCCAACCGUAAGGAGGCAGCCGUCGAAGGUGGGACUGGUGACUGGGACGAAGUCGUAACAAGGUAACC